rnacentral:rRNA from 1 species
UACGAAGGGGGCUAGCGUUGUUCGGAAUUACUGGGCGUAAAGAGCGUGUAGGCGGCCAAACAGGUCCGUUGUGAAAACUGGAGGCUCAACCUCCAGACGUCGACGGAAACCGUGUGGCUAGAGUCCGGAAGAGGAGAGUGGAAUUCCUGGUGUAGCGGUGAAAUGCGCAGAUAUCAGGAAGAACACCAAUGGCGAAGGCAGCUCUCUGGGACGGUACUGACGCUGAGACGCGAAAGCGUGGGGAGCGAACAGG